UGAUAGGUCCGAGGUGGAAGCGUGGUGACACGUGGAGCUGACGGAUACUAAUAGAUCGAGGACUUAACUAACUU
rnacentral:rRNA from 1 species